rnacentral:rRNA from 1 species
AGAACGACUCUCGGCAACGGAUAUCUCGGCUCUCGCAUCGAUGAAGAACGUAGCGAAAUGCGAUACUUGGCGUGAAUUGCAGAAUCCCGUGAACCAUCGAGUCUUUGAACGCAAGUUGCGCCCGAAGCCUUCUGGCCGAGGGCACGUCUGUCUGGGCGUCA